rnacentral:rRNA from 1 species
AAUGAACGUUGGCGGCGUGCCUAACACAUGCAAGUCGAACGCUAGUAGCAAUAUUAGAGUGGCGCACGGGUGAGUAACACGUAGCUUACCCACCUCCCAGCGCGGGAUAACGGUUCGAAAGACUGCUAAUACCGCAUAAGCUCACGGCCUGUAGAGGGCUGCGAGAAAGGCGCAAGUCACUGGGAGACGGGGCUGCGGCCCAUCAGCUCGUUGGUGAGGAA